UUUUAAUCUCUGUUAAUUAAUAAAUUAAGAUAAUCACUAAAAUUGUUCAUUAAAACUAAUAGUUCUAUAAUUUAUUUAUUAAAAUUAAUGACACAUCCUAAAAUUAUGGAGAAUGUGACAAAUAAGCCAAAUCACUUCAUAAAUAAUAGUAUAGAUAUUUUUGAAAUUUACAAUUUGCCAUUACUACGUAUAUUGAAAAUGUGAAAUAUAGAUUUUUUAGAAACAAUUUUUUUUUUUUAAACAUAGAUCAUUCUGAAACGGAGAGAAUAAUAUGCAAGACAUAUAUGUUUUUUAACUAAGAAUUUUGAAUUUUCAUAUGUUUAUCAAAAGAAGAAACAUGAUAGUGAUGAUAUAAUUAUUGAUUACCAAUGGUCGACAAAAAAACUUAUUGAUUAUCAUGUCGACAAAAAAACUUAUUAUUGACUACCAGUUUACUAUUAUGAUAAUAUGUAUAUAUUGUGUUUU
rnacentral:lncRNA from 1 species